AAUGAACGUUGGCGGCGUGGAUUAGGCAUGCAAGUCGAGCGAUAACCGUAGCAAUACGGGGACAGCGGCGAAAGGGAGAGUAACGCGUGGAUAAUCUACCCUCGGGACUGGGAUAGCCGCGGGAAACUGCGGGUAAUACCGGAUAAUGUCCUCGGACCAAAGGUGCGAUUCCGCCCGGGGAUGAGUCCGCGUCCUAUUAGCGAGUUGGUGGGGUAAUGGCCUACCCAGGCGAAGAUGGGUACGGGGGGUGAGAGUAUGCCCCCGCUCACUGGGACUGAGACACUGCCCAGACACCUACGGGUGGCUGCAGUCGAGAAUCUUCGGCAAUGGGCGCAAGCCUGACCGAGCGACGCCGCGUGCGGGAUGAAGGCCUUCGGGUUGUAAACCGCUGUCGGAGGGGAGGAAAUGCACGGGGGUUCUCCCUCGUGUUUGACCUAGCCUCAGAGGAAGGACGGGCUAACUACGUGCCAGCAGCCGCAGUAA
rnacentral:rRNA from 1 species